AUUGAACGCUGGCGGCAGGCCUAACACAUGCAAGUCGAACGAGAGGCGGAAGGGUGAGUAAUGUAUGGGGACUGCCCGAUAGAGGGGGAUAACUACUGGAAACGGUAGCUAAUACCGCAUACUAUCGGAUUACCCAGAUGGGAUGAGCUAGUAGGUGAGGUAAUGGCUCACCUAGGCGACGAUCCCUAGCUGGUCUGAGAGGAUGAUCAGCCAGACUGGGACUGAGACACGGCCCAGACCCCUACGGAGGCAGCAGUGGGGAAUAGUGCACAAUGGGCGCAAGCCUGAUGCAGCCAUGCCGCGUGUAUGAAGAAGGCCCUAGGGUUGUAAAGUACUUUCAGUCGGGAGGCGUUACCGACAGAAGAAGCACCGGCUAACUCCGUGCCAGCAGCCGCGGUAAUUC
rnacentral:rRNA from 1 species